AAAUAUUAAACACAGUAGUAAGUAAACCAUGCGGCUGAAGAGGGCUUCGCGGCCCUAGAACGGCCUGAGGGGGAGAGGUUUUAGUCGGUAGGCGUCCUUCGGGAUGAAUCCGACACUACCCGGUCGCACGGGCGGCCGGGUGUCUUUCGAAGAUUUCCUCACCUCCACGAAA
rfam:Agrilus planipennis Contig35247, whole genome shotgun sequence.